rnacentral:rRNA from 1 species
GAUGAACGCUGGCGGCGUGCCUAAUACAUGCCAGUCGAGCGAACGGACGAGAAGCUUGCUUUUCUGAUGUUAGCGGCGGACGGGUGAGUAACACGUGGAUAACCUACCUAUAAGACUGGGAUAACUUCGGGAAACCGGAGCUAAUACCGGAUAAUAUUUUGAACCGCAUGGUUCAAAAGUGAAAGACGGUCUUGCUGUCACUUAUAGAUGGAUCCGCGCUGCAUUAGCUAGUUGGUAAGGUAACGGCUUACCAAGGCAACGAUGCAUAGCCGACCUGAGAGGGUGAUCCGCCACACUGGAACUGAGACACGGUCCAGACUCCUACGGGAGGCAGCAGUAGGGAAUCUUCCGCAAUGGGCGAAAGCCUGACGGAGCAACGCCGCGUGAGUGAUGAAGGUCUUCGGAUCGUAAAACUCUGUUAUUAGGGAAGAACAUAUGUGUAAGUAACUGUGCACAUCUUGACGGUACCUAAUCAGAAAGCCACGGCUAACUACGUG